rnacentral:rRNA from 1 species
UACGAAGGGGGCUAGCGUUGUUCGGAAUUACUGGGCGUAAAGCGCACGUAGGCGGAUCGAUCAGUCAGGGGUGAAAUCCUGGAGCUCAACUCCAGAACUGCCUUCGAUACUGGCGAUCUCGAGUCCGGGAGAGGUGAGUGGAACUGCGAGUGUAGAGGUGAAAUUCGUAGAUAUUCGCAAGAACACCAGUGGCGAAGGCGGCUCACUGGCCCGGUACUGACGCUGAGGUGCGAAAGCGUGGGGAGCAAACAGG